rnacentral:rRNA from 1 species
CCUACGGGUGGCUGCAGUGGGGAAUUUUGGACAAUGGGGGCAACCCUGAUCCAGCCAUGCCGCGUGCGGGAAGAAGGCCUUCGGGUUGUAAACCGCUUUUGUCAGGGAAGAAAUCUUCCGAGCUAAUACCUUGGGAGGAUGACGGUACCUGAAGAAUAAGCACCGGCUAACUACGUUCCAGCAGCCGCGGUAAUACGUAGGGUGCAAGCGUUAAUCGAAGCUAGCGCAGGUAGAUCUUGAACACAGGGGUGGAAUCCCCGGGCUUAACCUGGGAACUGCACUUGUGACUGUACGGCUGGAGUACGGCAGAGGGGGAUGGAAUUCCGCGUGUAGCAGUGAAAUGCGUAGAUAUGCGGAGGAACACCGAUGGCGAAGGCAGUCCCCUGGGCCUGUACUGACGCUCAUGCACGAAAGCGUGGGGAGCAAACAGGAUUAGAUACCCCUGUAGUC